GCCGAUCAUUCUCACCAAGCUCCGGUGGUUGACCUGGCAGAGGAUCCUGACCUCAUUGAGGACUUGGGCCGUGCCCGCUGCAUUUCCCGGCUUGGCCCUCUUAACGGCUAUGUCAGUUCCGUUGUCUAAGGAACGCGGCCAGGAGCAGGACAACGAAUACGCCUGCAGUAGCUGCACAUUGGCCAGCCAAAUUGGACUUGUGCUAAAUUUCCAAAAAUUAAAGGUCAUCUCCAAGACUUAGUUACUUACCUCCAAUAGCUGGUGUGUGAUUGGAUCCCAGUAGCGACCCUUCUUGCAGAGACACCUCCUCCGGCCGCCAUCAGUGGAGUCCGCCAAGCAUGUUGAAAAG